GUGAGUCAUCGAAUCUUUGAACGCAUCUUGCGCUCUCUGGUAUUCCGGAGAGCAUGUCUGUUUGAGUGUCAUGAAUUCUUCAACCCAACUGUUUCUUGUAAACAGCUGGUGUUUGGAUUCUGAGCGCUGCUGGCUUCGUGCCUAGCUCGUUCGUAAUACAUCAGCAUCCCUAAUACAAGUUUGGAUUGACUUGGCGUAAUAGACUAUUCGCUGAGGACACGCUCUUGUAGUGUGGCCGAAUGAGAUCUCAGUAGAAGCUUCCAACUACUUUAGUCAACUUUAAUUUAGACCUCAGAUCAGGCAGGAUUACCCGCUGAACUUAA
rnacentral:rRNA from 1 species